CCCUUAGAUGUUCUGGGCCGCACGCGUGCUACACUGAUGCAUUCAACGAGUCUAAAACCUGGUCUGAUAGGGCUGGGUAAUCUUUUGAAAGUGCAUCGUGAUUGGGAUAGAUGAUUGCAAUUCUUCAUCUUCAACGAGGAAUGCCUAGUAAACGCAAGUCAUCAGCUUGCAUUGAUUACGUCCCUGCCCUUUGUACACACCGCCCGUCGCUCCUACCGAUUGAAUGAUCCGAUGAAUAUCAUGGAUUGAGAGUACGAAUGGGUUCGCUCAUUUCUGCUGCUCGAGAAGUGAAGUAAAUCUUAUCAUUUAGAGGAAGGAGAAGUCGUAACA
rnacentral:rRNA from 1 species